rnacentral:rRNA from 1 species
UACGUAGGGUGCGAGCGUUGUCCGGAAUUAUUGGGCGUAAAGGGCUCGUAGGCGGUUUGUCGCGUCGGGAGUGAAAACCAUGGGCUUAACUCAUGGCUUGCUUCCGAUACGGGCAGACUAGAGGUAUGCAGGGGAGAACGGAAUUCCUGGUGUAGCGGUGAAAUGCGCAGAUAUCAGGAGGAACACCGGUGGCGAAGGCGGCAUCCUGGACCAACACUGACGCUGAGGAGCGAAAGCCAGGGGAGCAAACGGG